UCAAAAACAUCUCUUCUUGCUAGUAUAAGAAGUAGGCCCUGCCCAGUGUCUAACCUGGAUAAAUGGCGGUGUUAAACCUUAAAGUAGCGUAAUAAUUUGUCCUUUAAUUGGGGGCUAGUAUGAACGGGUUGACGAUGGAAAAUCUGUCUCGGGAAGAAUAGCUGAAAUUUUCUUCCUAGUGAAAAGCCUGGGAUUAAGUUGAAAGACGAGAAGACCCCAUCGAGCUUGAAUAAGCUUCUUCCGGUUAGCAGGGUGUCUACAAAGUUUUGUUGGGGCAACAAUGGAGAAUAAAAACCUCCACUCUUAAAAGUAGUGAUCCAUAUUUUAUGAUAAAAAGAAAAAGUUACCGUGGGGAUAACAGCGUUAGACUGCCCAAGAGGCCUUAUCUAAGGCAGUAAGUGCGACCUCGAUGUUGGCUUAGGGGUGACUUUUUGGUGCAGAAGCUAAAAAAGUGGGAACUGUUCGUCCUUUAAUUCCCUA
rnacentral:rRNA from 1 species